GCGUUGAUGGUGUAAUGGUUAGCAUUGCUGCCUUCCAAGCAAUAGAUCUGGGUUCGAUUCCCGGUCAACGCA
rnacentral:tRNA from 1 species